AGUUCGAUUAUGGCUCAGAUUGAACGCUGGCGGAUGCUUUACAUACAUGCAAGUCGAACGGCAGCACGGACUUCGGUCUGGUGGCGAGUGGCGAACGGGUGAGUAAUGUAUCGGAACGUGCCUAGUAGCGGGGGAUAACUACGCGAAAGCGUAGCUAAUACCGCAUACGGCCUCUUCGGGGGAAAGCGGGGGACCUUCGGGCCUCGCACUAUUAGAGCGGCCGGGAUAUCGGAUUAGCUAUUGGUGGGGUAACGCUCACCAAGGCGACGAUCCGUAGCUGGUUUGAGAGGACGACCAGCCACACUGGGACUGAGACACGGCCCAGACCCUACGGGAGGUACAGUGGGGAAUUUUGACAAUGGGGAAACCCUGAUCCAGCCGUCCGCGUGUGCGAUGAAGGCCUUCGGGUUGUAAAGCACUUUUGGCAGGAAAGAAACGGCACGGGAUAAUGCUCCCGUGCAACUGACGGUACCUGCAGAAUAAGCACCGGCUAAUCCACGGUGCCAGCAGCCGUAAUACGUAGGUGCACCACUGGGCGUAAGGCGCAGGCGGUUCGGAAAAGAAAGAUGUCCCAGAGCUUAACUUUAAACUGGCUUAAUCACCGAGCUAGAGUGUGCUUUCAGAGGGGGAGGUGGAAUUCGCGUAGCAAGGGAAUGCGUAGAUAUGCGGAGCACCGAUGGCGAAGGCAGCCUGGGAUAACACUGACGCUCAUGCACGAAAGCGUGGGGAGCAAACAGGAUGAUACCCUGGUAGUCCACGCCUCUAAACGAUGUCAACUAGCUGUUGGGGGCCUUCGGGCCUUGGUAGCGCAGCCAACGCGAAGUUGACCGCCUGGGGGAGUACGGUCGCAAGAUUAAACUCAAAGGAAUUGACGGGGACCCGCACAAGCGGUGGAUGAUGUAACACCUGAUGCAACGCGAAAAAACCUUACCUACCUCGAUGUCUGGGAAUCCCGAAGCAGAUUAUGCUCGCAAGAGAACCGGAACACAGGUGCUGCAUGGCUGUCGUCAGCUCGUGUCGAGAUGUUGGGUUAAGUCCCGCAACGAGCGCAAACUUUGUCAUUAGUUGCUACGAAAGGGCACUCUUAAUGAGACUGCCGGUGACAAACCGGAGGAAGGUGGGGAUGACGUCAAGUCCUCAUGGCCCUUAGUGGGUAGGGCUUCAAGAAUGUCAUACAAUGGUCGGGACAGAGGGUCGCCAACCCGCGAGGGGGAGCCAAUCCCAGAAACCCGAUCGUAGUCCGGAUCGCAGUUCGCAACUCGGACUGCGUGAAGUCGGAAUCGCUAGUAAUCGCGGAUCAGCAUGUCGCGGUGAAUACGUUCCUGGCCCCUAACACACCGCCCGUCACACCAUGGGGAGUGGGUUUUACCAGAAGUAGUUAGCCUAACCGUAAGGAGGGCGAUUACCACGGUAGGAUUCAUGACUGGGUGAAGUCGCAAUAAAGGCAG
rnacentral:rRNA from 1 species